rnacentral:rRNA from 1 species
AUGCGCCCGAGCAGCCAGCCUCCUCCUUCUCCGCCUUGUCAGCAAGGGCGGAAGAGACCUGCCGCCGCUCCGGUUGCUCCGGCGCAUCGUAGUCCUUCUCCUCCGCCUCGUAAGCAAGUAAAGAAGACAACCGCUCCGUCUGCUCUGCCGGCGUCUAGCAGUACAGCCAGAGGCGGGAGGAAAUACAGAUUUGGUCCUUCUCUGAAGACUCCACAGAAGUUACCAUACGAGAGGACCCCGGAGGAGAACACCGAGAUCGCACGAGAAGAAGUGAGGAACUACUUUGAAGGGGUGAAAGCAAAGAAACAUCCACCUCCGGAGGAGAAGGUAGAUCCGGUGAAAGCGAAGCGCACUCUGGCUGCCCUGACAAAAUCACCCAAGUCUCCGCCGAAAGGAAACGAUGACCGCAUUAUUGGAAAGGAAUUUGCCGAAGCGGAGCAGUCGGGAAGUACUGUCAGUGAUCAAAGGCUGAAAGAACGAUGA